AGAGUUUGAUCCUGGCUCAGGAUGAACGCUAGCUACAGGCUUAACACAUGCAAGUCGAGGGGAAACGAUAGAGAAAGCUUGCUUUUUCUAGGCGUCGACCGGCGCACGGGUGAGUAACGCGUAUCCAACCUGCCCACCACUUGGGGAUAACCUUGCGAAAGUAAGACUAAUACCCAAUGAUAUCUCUAGAAGACAUCUGAAGGAGAUUAAAGAUUUAUCGGUGAUGGAUGGGGAUGCGUCUGAUUAGCUUGUUGGCGGGGUAACGGCCCACCAAGGCAACGAUCGGUAGGGGUUCUGAGAGGAAGGUCCCCCACAUUGGAACUGAGACACGGUCCAAACUCCUACGGGAGGCAGCAGUGAGGAAUAUUGGUCAAUGGGCGAGAGCCUGAACCAGCCAAGUAGCGUGCAGGAUGACGGCCCUAUGGGUUGUAAACUGCUUUUAUAAGGGAAUAAAGUGGGAGUCGUGACUCUUUUUGCAUGUACCUUAUGAAUAAGGACCGGCUAAUUCCGUGCCAGCAGCCGCGGUAAUACGGAAGGUCCGGGCGUUAUCCGGAUUUAUUGGGUUUAAAGGGAGCGUAGGCCGCAGGUUAAGCGUGUUGUGAAAUGUAGGGGCUCAACCUCUGCACUGCAGCGCGAACUGGCUUGCUUGAGUACGCACAACGUGGGCGGAAUUCGUGGUGUAGCGGUGAAAUGCUUAGAUAUCACGAAGAACUCCGAUUGCGAAGGCAGCUCACGGGAGCGCAACUGACGCUGAAGCUCGAAAGUGCGGGUAUCGAACAGGAUUAGAUACCCUGGUAGUCCGCACGGUAAACGAU
rnacentral:rRNA from 1 species